AUUGAACGCUGGCGGCAGGCCUAACACAUGCAAGUCGAGCGAGCGGCGGACGGGUGAGUAAUGUCUGGGAAACUGCCUGAUGGAGGGGGAUAACUACUGGACACGGUAGCUAAUACCGCAUACCAUCAGAUGUGCCCAUAUGGGAUUAGCUCGUAGGUGGGGUAACGGCUCACCUAGGCGACGAUCCCUAGCGGGGCUGAGAGGAUGACAAGCAAAACUGGAAAUGAGACACGGGCCAGAGUCCUACGGGAGGAAGCAGUGGGGAAGAUUGCACAAGGGGAGCAAGCCUGAUGCAGCCAGGCCGCGGGUGUGAAGAAGGCCUGCGGGUUGUAAAGCACUUUCAGCGGGGAGGCGUUACCCGCAGAAGAAGCACCGGCUAACUCCGUGUCAGCAGCCGCGGUAAUAC
rnacentral:rRNA from 1 species